AACACGAUCAACUCUAGUUAAGAGUUGGCAUUGACCUUGAGUGCAGUUUGCGCGCUUGGUUUGAAUAAAUCGAGUUGAUGAGCUUCCCAACGCGGCUCAAUGUGUGCUAGCGAGACAGUCGUCCCGAUCUCACAUUCCUGCUGUGUUGCAAAGCCCUAACCCACAACUCAUCUUACAAAUAUCAA
rnacentral:misc_RNA from 1 species